AUGAAAUUCUACAAUUUGUUGUGUGGAAAGUAUCGCAAGCAAUCUUUUUGUUUGCAUUCACGUUUGACGGUUAAAGGUAGAAUCACGUAUGUUUGAAAAUUGACUGUUACAUGUCUAGUGGCUAUCAAGCCUUUAUAGAAAUCAUCAAACUAACUUAAUCAUUAAUAUUUCCUUUCUAUUAACAAUUCGUCUAAAAAAGGCUAUAUAAGGAAAUACAAAACGAAUUCAUUGAAGAAUCUAACGAGCUCUGUGAAGGGACCUUUUUUUAACGUCUUCUCAAAAGGUCCCAAAAUAUGGAGCAAGAUACGGAGUAUGUAAAAUUGCCAUUAGAAGAGCGUUGUGUACAUAAGUCAUGGAGAGCAAGAUUACAUGGAUAUGAAGAAUGUGUAAAAACAUUUCAAUGUAUAGACGAUGAAAAAUCGCCAGAAUGGAAUAAAUUUUUAGGCUUUGUUAAAAAGUUUGUAUUGGAUAGUAAUGCUGCGGCACAAGAGAAAGGCUUAGAGGCAGUGUUAGCUUUUGUAGAAAAUGCGGCUGUUGCAGGAAAAACUGUUGGUGAAGUUAUGAAUGGUAUAGUGACUAAAUGUAUUGCUGCACCUAAAGCUAAAACGAAAGAUUUAGCAGUGCAAAUAACAUUAAUGUAUAUAGAAAUAGAAAAACAUGAAACAGUACAAGAAGAAUUACUGAAAGGAACAGAGGCAAAAAAUCCAAAAAUUGUAUCUGCAUGUAUUGCUGCUUUGACUCUUAGUCUAAGUGAAUUUGGAUCAAAAGUUAUUAAUGUCAAGCCUCUAAUAAAGAAGAUACCUAGUUUUUUAGAAGAUAGAGAUAAAAUGGUUAGAGAAGAAGGUAAAGCAUUGGUCAUUGAAAUGUACAGAUGGAUAGGUAUUCCAUUGAAGCAACAAUUGAAUACUUUAAAACCAGUACACAUUACAGAAUUAGAGACAGAAUUUAAUAAUUUAGGAAAUGAAAAAGCUGUACCUAAACGUUACUUAAAAUCACAAAAACCAAAAACAACAUGUGUUAGCGAUCCAAUAAUGGGUGACGAUAGUGAAGGUGAGAAAGAAGAAAUUGACAGAGACGUAGCACCAGACAUAGAUCCAUAUGAAUUACUAGAACCUGUUGACAUACUUUCUAAAUUACCUAAAGACUUUUAUGAAAAGUUAGAAGCUAAGAAAUGGCAAGAGAGAAAAGAAGCCUUAGAGGCUUUAGAAAAACUUGUAUCAAAUCCAAGAUUAGAAAAUGGUGACUAUGGAGAAGUAGUAAAAGCAUUGAAAAAGGUAAUAUCCAAAGAUACAAAUGUAUUGGUCGUUGCAUUAGCAGGAAAAUGUUUGACUGGUUUAGCCACAGGUUUGAGAAAACGAUUUCAAUCUUAUGCAACAUCGUGUUUGGCGGCUAUUUUGGAAAAAUUUCGCGAGAAGAAACAAAACGUUGUACAAGCGCUUCGAGAAGCUGCAGAUGCAAUUUUUCUUAGUAUAACAAUCGAUCUUAUACUGGAAGAUACACUUGCUGCGUUAGAAAAUAAAAAUCCUGCAGUAAAAGCAGAAACUGCUGCCUAUUUAGCAAGAUGUUUUGCUCGUACUCCUUCACCGAGCUUAAAUAAAAAGUUAUUGAAGGCAUAUACAACGACUCUUUUAAAAACAUUGAAUGAACCAGAUCCUACUGUUAGGGAUAAUUCAGCAGAAGCAAUUGCAACAGCGAUGAAAUUAGUUGGAGAAAAAGCAAUGAUGCCAUUUUUGACAGACAUAGAUAAUUUAAAAAUGACUAAGAUCAAAGAAUGUGCAGAAAAGGUUGUUAUAAUAGUUAAACUUCCACCUGCACAAAAGCCUUCAAAGCCUAGGCCCAAAACAGCACCAGCUAAAGUCGAGCAAAAUGCAAAACCAAAAGAAAAUGAAACAAAAUUAAUGAAAAGGUCGAAUACUAAUACGACUAAACAAGGUUUAUCAAGAAAACCAAUCGCUUCUUCUUCAACAAAUUUAGCUUCUAAGAAAUCUUCAAAUGUGAAAGUAGAAAAGGAUUACAGUACUGAAGAAAUAGAGGAAAUGGCUUCACAAAUAUUACCAAGUGAAGUAAUUUCGGGACUUGUAGAUAGUAAUUGGAAAACUCGAUUGUCUGCUGUUGAACAACUUUCUCAGAUUGUAAAGGAUAUGGAAUCAACAGAUGUAUCUACACAAGUCAUUGUAAGAACAUUGGCAAAGAAAUCUGGCCUUAAAGAUAUGAACUUUCAAGUCCUCAAACACAGAUUGGAGAUUAUAAAAACUUUGGCAGAAAAUUAUCCAUUUUCAUGUACUGUUUCUGGAUAUUGCAUUAUAGAUAUAACAGAAAAAUUAGGAGAUGCAAAAAAUAGUCCAAUUGCAUCUGAGACACUUUUAUCGAUAGCGAGUGCUACUAGUUUUGAAUAUGUCGCAAAUGAAAUACUUGCUUUUGCAUUUAAUCAAAAAAAUCCCAAAGUUCAACAAGAAACAUUGCUUUGGUUAAGUAGGGGUCUUAUGGAAUUUGGCUGCACAGUUAAUGUCAAAUCUUUAAUAGAAAAUAUAAAGAAAGCAGUAGCAGCAACUAAUCCUGGUGUACGUACUGCUGCUAUAACAUUAAUCGGCACUUUAUAUUUAUAUAUGGGAAGACAACUGCUAACAUUUUUUGAUAAUGAAAAACCAUCUCUCAAACAACAAAUUGAACAAGAAUGCGAAAAACAUAAUGGAGAAAAUCCACCUGUACCUAUACGAGGUGCAAAAAAUAAGAAAAUUAAAAGUGACGAUGCUGAUGAAACUGAGAUUAAUGAAAAAGUUGAAAAUAAUGACCAAAAUAUAAAUGACUUAAUUCCACGGAUUGACAUUAGCAGUCAAAUUACAGAAAGUCUUCUUAGUGAAUUGUCUGAUAAGAAUUGGAAGGUACGAAAUGAAGGAUUACAAAAAAUAAGUGCUAUAUUAAAUGAAUCAAAAUAUAUAAAGGGCUCUAUUGGUGAUUUACCACAAGGAUUAGCAUUGCGAUUAGUCGAUAGUAAUAGUAAAAUUGCACAAUCAACUUUAGGUAUAUGCCAAACGUUAGCCAUGUCAUUAGGUACAUCAGCAAAACAACAUUUAAGAAUUUUAUUACCUGGUUUCAUACAAUGUCUUGGAGAUAGUAAGGUUUGGAUAAGAACUGCUGCAAUUUCAUGUAUCGAUACAUGGGGAGAACAAUGCGGUUACAAAGAAUUCUUUGAUGGAGAAAUUAUAGGAGAUGCUCUAAAAUCUGGAUCGCCAACACUAAGAGCUGAAUUAUGGAAUUGGUUGUCCCAAAAGUUACCAUUAAUUCCUGUAAAACAAAUACCAAAAGAAGAACUUCUUGUUUGUAUACCUCAUUUAUAUAAUAAUUUAGAAGAUAGAAAUUCUGAUGUAAGAAAAAAUGCUCAAGAAGCUGUACUUGGAUUCAUGAUUCAUCUUUCUUAUGAAGCAAUGGCUAGAAAUACAGAAAAAUUAAAGCCUGGCUCAAGAACAGUUGUACUCGCUGCUCUAGAUAAAUCUCGACCUAAUUUACCUAUAAAACCCUUAUCUAAGAAACAAUUAUCAGACGAAAAUAUACAAAAAACCGUGAAAAGUGGAGGUGCUGCAAAAAUAGCUAAAGCAGUGGUCAAACCAAAGGGAGGGGCAUCAUCCAAACCAGGAAGUGCUCGUAAAAAGGAUGAAGAUGUUGAUAACAGUCCUUUGCUAGUAACUAACAAUCUAAAACAUCAACGAGUCAUCGAUGAACAAAAAUUGAAAGUUUUAAAAUGGAAUUUCACAACACCAAGGGAAGAAUUUGUGGAACUACUUAAAGAACUUAUGACUGCGGCAAAUGUGAACAAAACUUUAAUGACGAAUAUGUUUCAUUCUGAUUUUCGAUAUCAUUUAAAAGCUAUUGAAUCGUUAACAGAGGAUAUUCCUGGCAACAGUAAAGCAUUAGUUUCAAAUCUUGAUCUUAUUCUUAAGUGGUUGACUUUGAGAUUCUUUGAUACUAAUCCUUCUGUGUUAUUAAAGGGUCUGGAUUAUUUGCAAACUGUUUUUAAUUUAUUGAUAGAUGAUCAGUAUCACAUGUUAGAAAAUGAAGCCGCAUCAUUUAUUCCAUAUCUUAUUAUUAAGAUAGGAGAUCCGAAAGACGCUGUGCGUAAUGGCGUGCGCGCAUUAUUUAAACAAAUAGCACUUGUAUAUCCUGUCAGCAAGUUAUUUUCAUAUGUAAUGGAAGGCCUAAAAUCAAAGAAUGCUCGUCAAAGAACAGGAUGUUUAGAUCAAUUAGGGUCACUUAUAGAAAAUUAUGGAGUUAGCGUAUGUCAACCAUCUCCGGCAGCAGCAUUAAAAGAAGUUGCUAAACAAAUAGCAGAUCGUGAUAAUUCUGUUCGCAAUGCUGCUUUAAAUUGUAUCGUACAAGCAUAUUUUCUUGAAGGUGAAAAAAUAACUAAAUUAGUUGGCCAGAUAUCAGAAAAGGAUCAAUCAUUAUUGGAUGAACGUAUCAAAAGGGCAGCAAAAAAUCGUCCCGUAAAAUCAGCAUCUUCUACCAGAAUUGUACCUACAAUUACGGACACUGUUCCACUGACGGAAGAUGUAGAAAGUGACUAUAAAGAAGAAAAUGAAGAAAUUCCAGAACAGGAGGAUGAAGAAGAUGAAAUGACUAAUAAUCUGACGAAAGUUAUAACAGCCGAAAAAGCAGAAAUUGAUACUGAACAAUCAAAGGAACGCUGUAUAGUUGUGCAGUCAACUUGUGAAAUAAAGAAGGAACUUAAUCAAGAUACUCAUCUACCUCUUAAAAAUGAUCAAGAUGAUGUUAACAUGAAUCCAAUUCCAAUAGGACAAACAGAAGCAAUUGGACCAUUUGGAUUGGACAUGGAUUUUUUACAAAAAAUUGAAUCGAUUGCUCCAGUAAAAUUUAGGAAUCCUGUUCUUCAGGAUACUACUAUAUCUGAUAUCGAUGAACCAAUUAAUCUUAAUCCUCAUAAAACUCAAAUGAUACCAAUAUCACCUCCAAAAUUAUUGGUACCAAAAUCAGCAACAGUAUUACCCGAAGGACCAUCUAAUUCCAAAGAAGAUAAUGUUGAACGUACUAUACUUGCAAUGGCUAGUCUCGAUUUACCUACAGCAAUACAAUCAAUGAAUAGUAUUGACAAUUUACUAAGAUCACACAAAGCUUGUUUAUUACAAUCGAGAGAAGAUAAAUUUAUUAGUUCAGUGAAUAUGCAGUUAAAAUUUUUACAAACAUAUCCUUUACAUCAAGGAAGUGCAGAUGUAUCUAAAGGAUUUAGAAAUACCUUUAUGGUGAUACUUACGUUUUAUGAUACUGGAAUACUUGCUAAAAAUGUUCCACUAAUACAUUUAAAAGAACUUGUUGAACAAAUGAUUACUUUACUGGCAGAAUGUAAAUUAGAACGUUUACAAGAAGCAGAAGCAUAUAUCAGAGUGGUAAAUAAUAUAGUUGUUAAAAUAAUCGAUAAUUCAAAUCACACAACAAUUAUAUGUGUAUUAAUAGAACUACUUCAUGCGUGUGCUGAAUCAAACGCUCCUCCCAAAUAUGAAGAAUUGGUGAUGAAAUGUUUGUGGAAAAUUGUGAAAACAUUCCCAAAUUGGGCAGCAGAUUUGGAUUAUGAUACUAUUCUUUUAGAAGUUCAUAAAUUUUUGAAGGAUUAUCCAACUACUUGGUGGAAAAAGCGUUGGUCUGAUACUCCAUUAAGAACGAUAAAAACAGUUCUUCACAGUAUGACACGUGUUAAGGGAAGCACAAUACUCACUCAUCUGACAAAAAUAAAUAACACAAAUGAAUCUGAAUUACAUUCUUAUUUAAUAAGAUUAAUUGCUACAUUUAAACCAGAUGAAAUAAACACUGCGUCAAGACCAAUGUCAAAAAGCAAUAAUACAGCGAAGAUGCAAAAACAUUUAUCAAAAUCUACUCAUCAACAAUUGGCAGAAAUCUUUAAAAAAAUUGGAUCAAAAGAACACAUGCAAGAGGGUUUAAUGCAACUUUAUGAUUUUAAACUUCAAUAUCCUGACGCAGAUGUUCAACCUUUCUUAGUUAAGUCACAUCAGUUCUUCCAGGAUUUUAUAGAACAAGGAUUACGAGAAAUUGAUCAGGCACGACGAAAUCAAGGAGUUAUACCAAGAAUGAAUCAUUACAAUACAGAAUCUACUACAACUCCUGAAAUAGAAGAAAAAAGUCUACUGGAUCCAAUGCACAGGCUUGAAAAACUCAGGUCACUUGAAGCACAGUGUAGAACAACAUCUAGUCAGUCAAAUCCAGUAUGAAUUGUAUACCUAAUCAAUAUAAUUUAAAUAUCCAAUACUUGAAAGAUUAGCUCAUACACUAUAACGUAUGUUACAUACACCCCAUCUUUAAUAUUUUCCAUUGUUAUAUGAUAACGUUUAUUGGCAUGGCCUCCUUAAUAAUAUAAAAAGCUAAUAGUAAAACGGAGCAAGCUAUGAAACGUUCACUCGCUAAAGCUGUCAUCCAUCAUUUGAAUCGAAGCGAUAUAAAUCAAAUGGAAAACAUUUCUUGAAUGUAUGGAUUUCUAUCGAUAAAUGAAAGCGCUUAAUACAGUGCCCCAUGUUACCGGCAACUCAUCAAAAAUAGACCAUAGCGCCACAUAACAAAAAUCUGAACUAAUAAUUGUCAACUGUAUCAUGAAAGUCAUGAAAUAAAGAUCAAUUUGACAAUGAUA